AAGGCUCUGAGUUGGCCACAACUGGAUUAAGUAUGUUUGCAGCUCCCAAUGUGAGCUGUUUGCAAAUCGCCCAAGAAUAAUGAAUGUCUCGGAGGACUCAGCAGGUCACUUGGGGAAGGCAUCUGAGACCCUCGGGACACUCCCAGGCACCGAUUCACUCUGCCUCAGGGAUUCCCAGGGUUGGGAGGGAUAAAGGGGCAAUUUUUUCUCAUCAUUAAAGGGCAGCCGGUUGCCUCUGGGGUGGAAUGCAGCAUCUGUUUAACAGGGUAUAGAGGGUGACAGAUUACAGCCGCUUGGGAAGAAGCAUCCCAUAUCUAAUUGAAAAUCCCAGGGGAACUUUAGGUGGGUCAUGAUAAUUACCCAAAUUGGCACAGGGCCAACAGGGUUUGAUUCUUCAGCUCUGGCUGUGGCAGGACAGCAUGUCUGUGCAAAACCAGUGGCUUAGAAACUCCAGGAAGUAGAUCAAGGGUUAGAAAGAUGUCAGUGGGCGUUUACCCUCCCUGCUGGCGAGCGUGCGUGGAAGGCAGCACCCAGGAGGGACCAGUUUGAUCUCUAAAAAGCCCUUAUCCUGACUCACCCUAAUUCACUGACUCAUCACUGUGACGGUGUUGAAGACCUGAAGCGGACACCUCACUUAUCUUCGAAAGCCCCCCCGUAAGCCGAUAAAUGCUCUUAGCUUUGCGUUGGAAGGUGGCCACAGCAAAGAGACACCUGUGCCCUGUUCUUGAGCUAGGGAGCCCAGACAUGGUCAUCCAAACAUCCUGCCAGCCCUUGACACAGCACCUGCCCUCCAGGGGCCACUCAAGAAGCAGCAGAAAGGUUAAAGCAACCCCUUGAUUAUCAAAUGCUGAAAAGCAGAAGGAAGGAGAGAAAGACACUCACGUUCCUACGGCCCAGAGAGAACCAAGGGAAAAAUAGAGAGGAGGACAUUCAUGAUGUGCUUGGCAAACGUAAACUUCACAAAAUCCAACCAGCAAAUGUGUGAAGGAGAAGGAGCCACCCGUUAUUUCUGAGAGGUCCAAGCUGAUUGUUUAUCACACA